GAUGAGCGCUAGCGACAGGCUUAACACAUGCAAGUCGAGGGGCAGCGGGGAGUAGCAAUACUCCGCCGGCGACCGGCGCACGGGUGAGUAACGCGUAUGCAACUUGCCCAUCGGAGGGGGAUAGCCCAUCGAAAGAUGGAUUAAUACCGCGUAAUACAGGGGCCCCGCAUGGGGAUAUUUGUUAAAGGAUUUAUCGCCGAUGGAUAGGCAUGCGUUCCAUUAGGAAGUUGGCGGGGUAACGGCCCACCAAUCCGACGAUGGAUAGGGGUUCUGAGAGGAAGGUCCCCCACACUGGUACUGAGACACGGACUAGACUCCUACGGGAGGCAGCAGUGAGGAAUAUUGGUCAAUGGGCGGGAGCCUGAACCAGCCAAGUCGCGUGAGGGACGAAGGGCCUACGGCUCGUAAACCUCUUUUAUAAGGGAACAAAGCGCGGGACGUGUCCCGCUUUGCGUGUACCUUAUGAAUAAGCAUCGGCUAACUCCGUGCCAGCCGCCGCAGUAAGAC
rnacentral:rRNA from 1 species